rnacentral:rRNA from 1 species
CCUACGGGUGGCUGCAGUGAGGAAUAUUGGUCAAUGGUCGGGAGACUGAACCAGCCAAGCCGCGUGAGGGAUGAAGGUACAGAGUAUCGUAAACCUCUUCUGCCAGGGAACAAAGGCGGGGACGUGUCCCCGGAUGAGUGUACCUGAAGAAAAAGCAUCGGCUAACUCCGGGCCAGCAGCCGCGGUAAUAGGGGGGAUGCGAUGGUUAUCCGGAUUUAUGGGGUUAAGGGGGUGCGCAGGCGGUCUGUUAUGUCAGCGCUAAAAGCCCGGGGCUCAACCCCGGCCCGCCGUUGAAACUGGCAGUCUCGAGUUGGAGAGAGGUAUGCGGAAUGCGCGGUGUAGCGGUGAAAUGCAUAGAUAUCGCGCAGAACUCCGGUUGCGAAGGCAGCAUGCCGGCUCCACACUGACGCUGAGGCACGAAAGCGUGGGUAGCGAACAGGAUUAGAUACCCCGGUAGUC